rnacentral:rRNA from 1 species
GUGGGGAAUCUUAGACAAUGGGGGAAACCCUGAUCUAGCCAUGCCGCGUGAUCGAUGAAGGCCUUAGGGUUGUAAAGAUCUUUCGCUGGGGAAGAUAAUGACUGUACCCAGUAAAGAAGCCCCGGCUAACUCCGUGCCAGCAGCCGCGGUAAUACGGAGGGGGCUAGCGUUAUUCGGAAUUACUGGGCGUAAAGCGCACGUAGGCGGACUGGAAAGUUGGGGGUGAAAUCCCGGGGCUCAACCUCGGAACUGCCUUCAAAACUCCCAGUCUUGAGUUCGAGAGAGGUGAGUGGAAUUCCGAGUGUAGAGGUGAAAUUCGUAGAUAUUCGGAGGAACACCAGUGGCGAAGGCGGCUCACUGGCUCGAUACUGACGCUGAGGUGCGAAAGCGUGGGGAGCAAACAGGAUUAGAAACCCUGGUAGUCC